AGAAGCUCUGGAAGCCCACUUUGCCAUCUCUGCACUGGUCCAGGUCCUUCAUUAUUUUGUCCACGGCCAGAGGGUCUUUUUGAUUCUGAAAAACAAAGAACAAAGGCAAGAAAUAUCGAAGGUUGCAAUGAUGAGCUUAUUUGAUUUGUACUGCUGAGACGUGUGUACAUACCUCCCAAUUACUUGAGCUCUUGUUUUAGGUCAUAAGCAACCUUUGGAGGUCAUCUAAAUGUAUUUUUCUUUUUUUGCCUUGAGGGAGCAUUUCAGAAAUUUCAUAGUUAGAUUCUGCCUAAGAACCACCCUAAGUUCCUCAUUUUGUGGUUUAAACUUACAUUCUCUUAUUAAAAUUUUAUUCCCAAUAGCAUGGUCAAAUCCCUUGCAAAGGAAACUCCUUAUGAAAAGAUAUUUUGGAUUUAGGGAGUAAGUUUUCGAUCACUGUCCUAUGGAUUUUAAAGAAGUGCUAAUGAUGCCAUGGAUUGUUUUAGGUUUGGAGAAGACAGCUCUCAUUCUUCUUGGCACAGCUGAGGCCAAGCUAGUGUGGCUUCAUAUUGUAUUAGCCACAUCAUGCUGAGUGAACCACUUAGUGGGCCGUUGUGUAUCAACGAUGAAUUGAGGAGGCUGGACUAUAAUGUUUCUAGAAUCCUUCCAUUCUUUGAAUUGGUAAGUCUAUGCCAUCCUAUACUCUUCACCGGACGUUGUACAUCGGACCAGUUUCAAAAGGAGUAUGUGUGAUGGAGUCUUAAACUCCCCAUGGCUCUCAGUGCCUACUAAGAAUGUGUGGGACAGAGAUGGGAAGGCAAGAUCCCCUUUGAUUUUAUCUGGCUUCCAUGGUGAUUGGCUUUUGGCUUCAUCACUCGUUUUUGUAGUGAUGCUGGUCAGAAGUGGUAAGCUGUGGUUUUUCCUGUAGGGUCCAUGCCAUCAACCAGAGAGAGAAAUAUGGCCUGUUUAGGUUGUUAAAGGGCUCAGGUAAAGUAUUUAUGAAUUCUGAUGACUAUAUUCAUGAGUGAGAGAAAUGAUACACAGUGUUUCAAGAGUGCACUAGAUGUUUCUAAAUAGCACUCGGAAAUUCCUAAAAGUAUAGCAGCAGCAUUUCCCACAUAAGCACUGCAAACUCCUACUCUAGCUAAACCCGCUCUAUGCAGCUCUUGGUGGGUUUCGGCUAAUUCUGGCUUCACCCUCAGCUUCCUGGCUAUGGUCAGAAUGAGUGCAAUCUGGAUGACAUAAGGGGUCUACUUUAGAAACAAAACGCUCUGUUAAUGCAGUGAGUGUAGGUGUUUCCGGAAUUAUGACUCUGUGCCUGGAAUAAAUCACCCUGCCAUGUUUAGUGCUCCACACUACAUAUACCCUUUAUGUGUCUCAUGCCACAAAACCUUUAGGAAGAAAGGGUCUGUGUCUUAUGUGAUACUCACUCGGGCUUCUAACAACACUCUUAACAAGUGUUUAGCAUACUGAGAAUGCCUUUGUCCAUAGGACGGGCAGGCUUACAAUGAGCACAUUUUGUCCUUGCGUCUUAAAUGCUUGUCUUGACUGAUCAUAGAAAGUGAAAGUGACCUUGCAGAUAAUUAUGUCCAGCCUUCUCCAAUUUUACAGGGGAGAAACUGAAGACUAGAGAGCUGAAGCAACCUGCCCGUUGUUAGUUAAGGCAGAGCCAGAUCUUCUAACUCCUGGUCUGGGGCUACAUCACAGGACUCUACAAAAGCAGAGGACCUGCAUAUUCCAGCUCAUUCUGGGAUAGCAUUAGGAGUCAGGGGGGCUUGACUAACGUGCUAUUUACGAGGCAGAUGACAAGAGGCAGGACCCAACCUUUUACCGUAUCUCCUCUCACCCUUUAGAGGUUAAUGCAUUACUCAACACCAAGCACAGAAACAAUCUUUUCAGUUGAAUCCAACAGCCAUCUCUCAAGAACCUGGAACAUAAAAGGACAACUGUGCCUUGUGGCCCCAUGUCCUGAGUCAUGUAUCUGAGCUAAUGGCAGAGUCCUCUUCUCGGUCUUCAUGCAUCUCUCAGUCUGUCAAAGGUGAGACAUAAACUCAAACUGCUCCUGUGCUGUCAGAGCAUUAUUACGUGAAAAGCAGUUAUUUCUGGAGUGACAUGUGCCUCUCAUUCAGUAGAUGACUGACGCUGCUCCUUUCAGUAUUAGAAAAAGUAAAAACAAUCCCUUUAUCUGAAGAGAUUUAAGAAGUGAGAUUCAAGUUGCUCGAAAUGGAAUGUGACCAGGAUGUGGCAUCUCCACCACCAGGUUUUUGGACCUGAAGAUAGCCAUUUUCUGGUUGACUACUCUUUUGUGAAAAGCUUUCUUUCUCCCAACUCUGUCCCCAACAUCAUCACAACAGACACAGAUAACCAGAUGGGAUUUUCCAACAAACAGCUCACAUCGUAGUUAUUUGUAUGUAGUCUUAUUUCACCUGCAGACUGUAAGCUCCUUGAAGGCUGGCGCCGUGUCUUCAUUACUUUCUAUUUCCUCAACAGUAUCUUACAAAUAGCAGGUACUCAAUAUUAUUUAAUAAAUGAAUGAAUGACCUCAUUCAUUCCUUCCUUCCUUCAGGUGACUACAUUCAUUCAUUCACUAGUGGUGACCUCCACAGGGAAGGGAUGGAAACAAGAAGGAAAAGGAACCAAGGCCUAGAAGCACUGACUUUUAUGUCUGGUUCUUUGUAAGCCUUUCAACACUUACUUCCAAAAAUCCAGGAAACUCCUUUUCCAUGAGUACUCUCAGGUCCUCCUUUGUUAAGUAGCCUUUAUCCCCCGCGAAUUUGUGAAAUGUAAACAUCAUGGUUUCCAUGGCAUGCUCCAUUUGAGACGGCAUUUUGGUGUGGUCUGUUGAAGCCUAUUAAAGGAUGUAAA